UGAAACAUCUUAGUACCCGGAGGAAGAAAAAGAAAAUUCGAUUCCCUUAGUAGCGGCGAGCGAAACGGGAAGAGCCCAAACCAACAAGCUUGCUUGUUGGGGUUGUAGGACACUCUAUACGGAGUUACAAAGGACGACAUUAGACGAAUCAUCUGGAAAGAUGAAUCAAAGAAGGUAAUAAUCCUGUAGUCGAAAAUGUUGUCUCUCUUGAGUGGAUCCUGAGUACGACGGAACACGUGAAAUUCCGUCGGAAUCUGGGAGGACCAUCUCCUAAGGCUAAAUACUCUCUAGUGACCGAUAGUGAACCAGUACCGUGAGGGAAAGGUGAAAAGCACCCCGGAAGGGGAGUGAAAUAGAACCUGAAACCGUGUGCUUACAAGUAGUCAGAGCCCGUUAAUGGGUGAUGGCGUGCCUUUUGUAGAAUGAACCGGCGAGUUACGAUUUGAUGCAAGGUUAAGCAGUAAAUGUGGAGCCGUAGCGAAAGCGAGUCUGAAUAGGGCGUUUAGUAUUUGGUCGUAGACCCGAAACCAGGUGAUCUACCCUUGGUCAGGUUGAAGUUCAGGUAACACUGAAUGGAGGACCGAACCGACUUACGUUGAAAAGUGAGCGGAUGAACUGAGGGUAGCGGAGAAAUUCCAAUCGAACCUGGAGAUAGCUGGUUCUCUCCGAAAUAGCUUUAGGGCUAGCCUCAAGUGAUGAUUAUUGGAGGUAGAGCACUGUUUGGACGAGGGGCCCCUCUCGGGUUACCGAAUUCAGACAAACUCCGAAUGCCAAUUAAUUUAACUUGGGAGUCAGAACAUGGGUGAUAAGGUCCGUGUUCGAAAGGGAAACAGCCCAGACCACCAGCUAAGGUCCCAAAAUAUAUGUUAAGUGGAAAAGGAUGUGGCGUUGCCCAGACAACUAGGAUGUUGGCUUAGAAGCAGCCAUCAUUUAAAGAGUGCGUAAUAGCUCACUAGUCGAGUGACACUGCGCCGAAAAUGUACCGGGGCUAAACAUAUUACCGAAGCUGUGGAUUGUCCUUUGGACAAUGGUAGGAGAGCGUUCUAAGGGCGUUGAAGCAUGAUCGUAAGGACAUGUGGAGCGCUUAGAAGUGAGAAUGCCGGUGUGAGUAGCGAAAGACGGGUGAGAAUCCCGUCCACCGAUUGACUAAGGUUUCCAGAGGAAGGCUCGUCCGCUCUGGGUUAGUCGGGUCCUAAGCUGAGGCCGACAGGCGUAGGCGAUGGAUAACAGGUUGAUAUUCCUGUACCACCUAUAAUCGUUUUA
rnacentral:rRNA from 1 species